rnacentral:rRNA from 1 species
GACGAACGCUGGCGGCGUGCAUAACACAUGCAAGUCGAACGGGGGUAUUUAUUUCGAUGAAUACCUUAGUGGCGAACGGGUGAGUAACGCGUGAGCAACCUAUCCUUAAGAGGGGGAUAACAUCUGGAAACAGAUGCUAAUACCGCAUAAGACCACACUGCCGCAUGGCAGAGGGGUCAAAGGAGCAAUCCGUUUAAGGAGGGGCUCGCGUCCCAUUAGAUAGUCGGUGAGGUAACAGCUCACCAAGUCAGCGAUGGGUAGCCGAGCUGAGAGGCUGAUCGGCCACACUGGAACUGAGACACGGUCCAGACUCCUACGGGAGGCAGCAGUGGGGAAUAUUGGGCAAUGGGGGGAACCCUGACCCAGCAACGCCGCGUGAGGGAAGAAGGCCUUCGGGUUGUAAACCUCUGUCAUUGGGGAAGAAGAAAGUGACGGUACCUAAUGAGGAAGCCCCGGCUAACUACGUGCCAGCAGCCGCAGUAA